AUUGAACGCUGGCGGCAUGCUUUACACAUGCAAGUCGAACGGCAGCGGGGUAGUGCUUGCACUACUGUCCGGCGAAUGGCGAACGGGUGAGUAAUAUAUCGGAACGUACCGAGUAAUGGGGGAUAACCAAUCGAAAGAUUGGCUAAUACCGCAUACGUCCUAAGGGAGAAAGCGGGGGAUCGCAAGACCUCGCGUUAUUCGAGCGGCCGAUAACUGAUUAGCUAGUUGGUGGGGUAAAGGCCUACCAAGGCGACGAUCAGUAGCGGGUCUGAGAGGACGAUCCGCCACACUGGGACUGAGACACGGCCCAGACUCCUACGGGAGGCAGCAGUGGGGAAUUUUGGACAAUGGGGGCAACCCUGAUCCAGCCAUGCCGCGUGUAUGAAGAAGGCCUUCGGGUUGUAAAGUACUUUUGUUAGGGAAGAAAAGGGAAGUGCUAAUACCACUUUUUGCUGACGGUACCUAAAGAAUAAGCACCGGCUAACUACGUGCCAGCAGCCGCGGUAAUACGUAGGGUGCGAGCGUUAAUCGGAAUUACUGGGCGUAAAGCGAGCGCAGACGGUUAUUUAAGCAGGAUGUGAAAUCCCCGGGCUUAACCUGGGAACUGCGUUCUGAACUGGAUAGCUAGAGUGUGUCAGAGGGGGGUAGAAUUCCACGUGUAGCAGUGAAAUGCGUAGAGAUGUGGAGGAAUACCGAUGGCGAAGGCAGCCCCCUGGGAUAACACUGACGUUCAUGCUCGAAAGCGUGGGUAGCAAACAGG
rnacentral:rRNA from 1 species